AGAGUUUGAUCCUGGCUCAGGAUGAACGCUAGCGGGAGGCUUAACACAUGCAAGUCGAGGGGCAGCACGAUGUAGCAAUACAUUGGUGGCGACCGGCGCACGGGUGAGUAACACGUAUGUAACCUACCCUGUACAGGGGGAUAACCCGGAGAAAUUCGGACUAAUAUUCCAUAAAGAUAUUUUGAGGCAUCUUAAGAUAUUUAAAGUUUCGACGGUACGGGAUGGGCAUGCGCAACAUUAGCUGGUUGGUAGGGUAACGGCCUACCAAGGCCUCGAUGUUUAGGGGACCUGAGAGGGUGAUCCCCCACACUGGUACUGAGACACGGACCAGACUCCUACGGGAGGCAGCAGUGAGGAAUAUUGGUCAAUGGGCGCAAGCCUGAACCAGCCAUCCCGCGUGAAGGAAGAAAGCGCUAUGCGUUGUAAACUUCUUUUCCAGGGGAAUAAAAUGCAUUACGAGUAGUGCACUGAAGGUACCC
rnacentral:rRNA from 1 species